rnacentral:rRNA from 1 species
GAUGAACGCUGGCGGCGUGCCUAAUACAUGCAAGUCGAGCGAACGGACGAGAAGCUUGCUUCUCUGAUGUUAGCGGCGGACGGGUGAGUAACACGUGGAUAACCUACCUAUAAGACUGGGAUAACUUCGGGAAACCGGAGCUAAUACCGGAUAAUAUUUUGAACCGCAUGGUUCAAAAGUGAAAGACGGUCUUGCUGUCACUUAUAGAUGGAUCCGCGCUGCAUUAGCUAGUUGGUAAGGUAACGGCUUACCAAGGCAACGAUGCAUAGCCGACCUGAGAGGGUGAUCGGCCACACUGGAACUGAGACACGGUCCAGACUCCUACGGGAGGCAGCAGUAGGGAAUCUUCCGCAAUGGGCGAAAGCCUGACGGAGCAACGCCGCGUGAGUGAUGAAGGUCUUCGGAUCGUAAAACUCUGUUAUUAGGGAAGAACAUAUGUGUAAGUAACUGUGCACAUCUUGACGGUACCUAAUCAGAAAGCCACGGCUAACUACGUGCCAGCAGCCGCGGUAAUACGUAGGUGGCAAGCGUUAUCCGGAAUUAUUGGGCGUAAAGCGCGCGUAGGCGGUUUUUUAAGUCUGAUGUGAAAGCCCACGGCUCAACCGUGGAGGGUCAUUGGAAACUGGAAAACUUGAGUGCAGAAGAGGAAAGUGGAAUUCCAUGUGUAGCGGUGAAAUGCGCAGAGAUAUGGAGGAACACCAGUGGCGAAGGCGACUUUCUGGUCUGUAACUGACGCUGAUGUGCGAAAGCGUGGGGAUCAAACAGGAUUAGAUACCCUGGUAGUCCACGCCGUAAACGAUGAGUGCUAAGUGUUAGGGGGUUUCCGCCCCUUAGUGCUGCAGCUAACGCAUUAAGCACUCCGCCUGGGGAGUACGACCGCAAGGUUGAAACUCAAAGGAAUUGACGGGGACCCGCACAAGCGGUGGAGCAUGUGGUUUAAUUCGAAGCAACGCGAAGAACCUUACCAAAUCUUGACAUCCUUUGACAACUCUAGAGAUAGAGCCUUCCCCUUCGGGGGACAAAGUGACAGGUGGUGCAUGGUUGUCGUCAGCUCGUGUCGUGAGAUGUUGGGUUAAGUCCCGCAACGAGCGCAACCCUUAAGCUUAGUUGCCAUCAUUAAGUUGGGCACUCUAAGUUGACUGCCGGUGACAAACCGGAGGAAGGUGGGGAUGACGUCAAAUCAUCAUGCCCCUUAUGAUUUGGGCUACACACGUGCUACAAUGGACAAUACAAAGGGCAGCGAAACCGCGAGGUCAAGCAAAUCCCAUAAAGUUGUUCUCAGUUCGGAUUGUAGUCUGCAACUCGACUACAUGAAGCUGGAAUCGCUAGUAAUCGUAGAUCAGCAUGCUACGGUGAACACGUUCCCGGGUCU